UAGGGAAUAUUGGGCAAUGGGCGCAAGCCUGACCCAGCAACACCGCGUGAAGGAAGAAGGUCUUCGGAUUGUAAACAUCUGUUGUAAGGAAAAAAUAAAUGAUGGUACCUUACAAGAAAGCCCCGGCUAACUAUGUGCCAGCAGCCGCGGUAAUACAUAGGGGGCAAGCGUUGUCCGGAAUCAUUGGGCGUAAAGGGUGCGUAGGCGGCCUUGUAAGUUAAAUGUGAAAUCCUGUGGCUCAACCACAGAACUGCAUUUAAAACUGCGAGGCUUGAGUAUGGAAGAGGUAAGUGGAAUUCUCUAGUGUAGCGGUGGAAUGCGUAGAUAUUAGGAGGAACACCAGGGGCGAAGGCGGCUUACUGGGACAUUACUGACGCUGAGGCACGAAAGCGUGGGGAGCAAACAGG
rnacentral:rRNA from 1 species